rnacentral:rRNA from 1 species
UGACAAGAAAUAACAAUACGGGGCUUAAAGUCUUGUAAUUGGAAUGAUGGGAAUUUAAACCUCUUCCAGAGUAUCAAUUGGAGGGCAAGUCUGGUGCCAGCAGCCGCGGUAAUUCCAGCUCCAAUAGCGUAUAUUAAAAUUGUUGCAGUUAAAAAGCUCGUAGUUGAAUUUCUGCUGCAUUGCUUGUGUCCCUCUGGGGUCUGUGCAUGUGGCUUUUUUCGGACGGAGUUUCUUUGUCUGAAUGUUUACUUUGAGAAAAUUAGAGUGCUCAAAGCAGGCUUUCGCCUUGAAUAGUUUAGCAUGGAAUAAUAAAGUAGGACUUUGGUUCUAUUUUGUUGGUUUUAGGUACCAAAGUAAUGGUUAAUAGGAACAGUUGGGGGCAUUCGUAUUUAACUGUCAGAGG